UACGGGGGGGGCAAGCGUUGUUCGGAAUUACUGGGCGUAAAGGGCUCGUAGGCGGCCAACUAAGUCAGACGUGAAAUCCCUCGGCUUAACCGGGGAACUGCGUCUGAUACUGGAUGGCUUGAGAUUGGGAGAGGGAUGCGGAAUUCCAGGUGUAGCGGUGAAAUGCGUAGAUAUCUGGAGGAACACCGGUGGCGAAGGCGGCAUCCUGGACCGGUAUUGACGCUGAGGCGCGAAAGCUAGGGGGGCAAACGGG
rnacentral:rRNA from 1 species